AUUUUUAAUUUAUUAUUUAAUUUUUUAUUUUUUAUUAUAUUAAAAUUAGAAUAUUAGAGUUUUAUUAUUUAUAAGAAAAAAUUUAUUUUAUUAUAGGGUAAUAGUAUGGUAAAAGAAAGUAAUUUAAAUAUCUGAAAGAAAUAUUAUUUUUUUGUACCUUGUGUAUCAGGGUUUAUUAAUUAAAGUUUAAGGAUUUAUUUUUCUCGAAUUAAUAAGAGUUAUAUUUGUAUAAAUGGAUUUUGUUAAAUAAAAAUUGUUAAUACUUAUAUUGAAGUAAAAUGCUAUUCGAUUAUUAAUAUAUCUAGUUUUUGAAGAAAAAAAUUUAAUUUUUUUAUUAAUAAUAUAUAGAAUUUUAUUUUAAAUUUUAUAUUUUUAAUAUUUUAUAUAUUAAGGGAUAAGCUUUAAUAUAGAUUUUUUUAAAGUAGAUAAUUUCAGUAUAAAGUAGGAUUGAAAAUUUUUAUCUUUUAGAGUUUGUUAUAAUUUUUUUCUUUAAUUUUAUGAUUUUUAUUAUUUUAAAGUUUUUUAUUUGAAUAGAGAUUUAAAUGUUAAAAAUUUUGAAAUAAUGAUAAAAUUAGUAAAAAUUAUUUUGUAUGUUUAUAUUUUAUUUAAAGGUUAAAUAAAGGAAUUCGGCAAAUAAUUUUCCACCUGUUUAUUAAAAACAUGUCCUUUUGUUUUUGAUUUAAGGUCUAACCUGCCCAAUGAUAAAUUAAAUGGCCGCGAUAUUUUGAUCGUGCAAAGGUAGCAUAAUCAUUAGUUUUUUAAUUGAAAGCUGGAAUGAAGGGUUGAAUGAGAAAAUUUCUGUCUCUAUUUAAAUUUGUUUGAAUUUUAUUUUUAAGUUAAAAAGCUUAAAUAUUUAUAGAAGACGAGAAGACCCUAUAGAGUUUAAUUUAUAUUUUUGAUAUAGUUUUUAGAAUUUAGUAUUUUUAUUUUUAUUAUAAAUUUAAUUGGGGUGAUUAAAAAAUUUAUUAAACUUUUUUUUAUUUUUACAUUUAUUUAUGAGUAGUUGAUCCUUGAAUAAAGAUUGAAAGAAAAAAUUACCUUAGGGAUAACAGCGUAAUUUUUUUGAAGAGUUCAAAUCGAUAAAAAAGAUUGCGACCUCGAUGUUGGAUUAAAAUUAAAUUUAGGUGUAGAAGCUUAAAAUUUAGGUCUGUUCGACCUUUGAAAUUUUACAUGAUCUGAGUUUAAACCGGUGUGAGCCAGGUUGGUUUCUAUCUCUAUUAAGAGGAUAUAUUUUAGUACGAAAGGAUCAUAU
rnacentral:rRNA from 1 species